rnacentral:rRNA from 1 species
GACGAACGCUGGCGGCGUGCUUAACACAUGCAAGUCGAACGGAAAGGCCCUGCUUGCCGGGUACUCGAGUGGCGAACGGGUGAGUAACACGUGGGUGAUCUGCCCUGCACUUCGGGAUAAGCCUGGGAAACUGGGUCUAAUACCGGAUAGGAGCCAUUUUUAGUGUGAUGGUUGGAAAGUUUUUUCGGUGUAGGAUGAGCUCGCGGCCUAUCAGCUUGUUGGUGGGGUAAUGGCCUACCAAGGCGGCGACGGGUAGCCGGCCUGGGGGGGUGGACGGCCACAUUGGGACUGAGAUACGGCCCAGACUCCUACGGGAGGCAGCAGGGGGGAAUAUUGCACAAGGGGCGCAAGCCGGAUGCAGCGACGCCGCGUGGGGGAUGACGGCCUUCGGGUUGUAAACUCCUUUCGCUAGGGACGAAGCUUUUUGUGACGGUACCUAGAUAAGAAGCACCGGCUAACUACGUG